rnacentral:rRNA from 1 species
AUUGAACGCUGGCGGCAGGCCUAACACAUGCAAGUCGAACGAGUGGCGGACGGGUGCGUAAUGUCUCGGAACCUGCCUGAUGGAGGGGGAUAACUACUGGAAACGGUAGCUAAUACCGCAUACUAUCGGAUGUGCCCAGAUGGGAUUAGCUAGUAGGUGGGGUAAAGGCUCAACUAGGCGACGAUCCCUAGCUGGUUUGAGAGGAUGACCAGACACACUGGAACUGAGACACGUGCCAGACUCCUACGGGAGUCAGCAGUGGGGAAUAUUGGACAAUGGGCGCAAGCCUGAUGCAGCCAUGCCGCGUGUAUGAAGAAGGCCUUCGGGGUGUAAAGUACUUUAAGCAGGGAGGCGUUACCCGCAGAAGAAGCACCGGCUAACUCCGUGCCAGCAGCCGCGGUAAUUC